rnacentral:rRNA from 1 species
GACGAACGCUGGCGGCGUGCUUAACACAUGCAAGUCGAGCGAUGAAAUUCCUUCGGGAAUGGAUUAGCGGCGGACGGGUGAGUAACACGUGGGUAACCUGCCUCAUAGAGGGGAAUAGCCUUCCGAAAGGAAGGUUAAUACCGCAUAAGAUUGUAGUAUCGCAUGAUACAGCAAUUAAAGGAGUAAUCCGCUAUGAGAUGGACCCGCGUCGCAUUAGCUAGUUGGUGAGGUAACGGCUCACCAAGGCGACGAUGCGUAGCCGACCUGAGAGGGUGAUCGGCCACAUUGGGACUGAGACACGGCCCAGACUCCUACGGGAGGCAGCAGUGGGGAAUAUUGCACAAUGGGGGAAACCCUGAUGCAGCAACGCCGCGUGAGUGAUGACGGUCUUCGGAUUGUAAAGCUCUGUCUUCAGGGACGAUAAUGACGGUACCUGAGGAGGAAGCCACGGCUAACUACGUGCCAGCAGCCGCAGUAAAAC